rnacentral:misc_RNA from 1 species
GCUAGAGCUACCAUCAGUGAUAGCCUCAUCAUUGAGAAGGUUCCACCUUCUGCAUGCAAGGAUGGAAGUGUCGGCAUUGAACAGAUGGGAAUUGUCAAGGAUCCUCCUCAUUCGGGUACUGGUGGUACACUUUUAAUCAGGGUUUUUGAUAAUAAAGAAGGGGUGGACAUUGGUCCAAUUUGCUUAGAGGCUCAAUCCAGAGAACAAGCUGCCAAUGAUGUUUUGGGGACAGGAAAUUCAUUUGUAAU